rnacentral:rRNA from 1 species
AUACGUAGGGGGCGAGCGUUGUCCGGAAUGAUUGGGCGUAAAGGGCGCGUAGGCGGCCCGGUAAGUCUGGAGUGAAAGCCCUGUUUUUAAGAUGGGAAUUGCUUUGGAUACUGUCGGGCUUGAGUGCAGGAGAGGUAAGUGGAAUUCCCGGUGUAGCGGUGAAAUGCGUAGAGAUCGGGAGGAACACCAGUGGCGAAGGCGUCUUACUGGGCUGAUACUGACGCUGAGGAGCGCAAGCGUGGGGAGCGAACAGGAUUAGAUACCCUGGUAGUCCAGGCGGUAAACGAUGAAUGGCAGGUGUAGGAGGUAGCGACCCCUUCUAUGCCGGAGUAAACACAAUAAGCAUGCCGCCUGGGGAGUUCGGCCGCAAGGUGGAAACUCAAAUGAAUUGGCGUGG